UAUUUAUUUUAACCUUGCCCAAAACCUUGAUAUAAAACGCAUCAAAAUUUUUGUUUUCAAUUCACAAAAAAUUUUUAUUUGAAAUUAUAUAAAAUUAUUUGAGUUAAUUCUAGUCAACUAAAUCUAACACUAUGCCUAACAAAAACGAAUCUGGUGGUGCAGCUGGUAUGGGACAAGCCGGAAAAAACGCAGCUAAAGCCGGAGGUGCAGGCGCUCAAUCUGGAGCCCAAGCCGGGAAAAAUCAAGCCAGCGCUGGAGCCGGAGCAGGAAGUGCCGGAAAACACGCCUCCAAAAACUAAAUUAGUUCUUAUUGUGGAGUUUCAUCAACAUAUUAGAACACCUAAAAUAUACACAUCGUUUUAAUUAGAUUAAUUAUAUAAUUGUAAAAUUUUAUAUUUAUCCUUAAAGGCGGAAUAUUCGAUUCUUGCAUAUUGUUAAACCGUGUAGUAAAUAGUAAAUAAAAU